AAGGGCUCUUUUCUAGCCAGUUUACCCCUUUCCCAUCUGACUAAUUUUCUUCCCUGAUCCAAAGGCCGACACACCCUGGUCUCCUCCAGUGAGUAUGGCAGGCACAGCACACAAAUGCUCAGAGUCCCCUAAUGCUGCCAAAAAGUAUCAAAUUGCCCCAUGACUGCUCUUCUCGGGGAGUAAGAGAGCCCCAGUUUAAGCAGGGCAAAGAGGCAGACUUACCAUUGUGUGACUGGGGCUGCAUCACCUGAUCCAGGAGGGGCACACAGCACUAGGGGGUAAAUGGGAAGUUACAGCCCUUCCCAUCACCCAGCAAACCUGGGAAAUGACACUGGAUCCUGGAUUCUGGCUCAACUCCCAGCCAUUGUAACCUCACUUCUGCAGAGGGUUACCCCUGAUUUACACAGCAAUAAAUCCAGUAUCUGCUGAUACUGCCAGGCAUUGAUGAGGUCUGGAAUGGAGUAUUACGGGACAGGCAUUUCUUGAGAGCUUUUCCAGCUCUGUGCAGAUCCUUUGCUCCCAAUGACUUGACUGAAGCUCACCUGGUGCUCUCUCUGACCCUCUCCAAGUUCCCCCUCAGCAUCUCACUCUGUGUACAUCCCUGCCAUGAUGG